ACUAGCGGCCAUAGCACGUUGAUUGUAUGAGUUCUCUAUGGAUCACUGAUGUUAAGCAACGUCACGCGUGCUUAGUAUUCGUAUGGGUGACUAUCUGGACAAUCGCGAGCUACUGGCA
rfam:Asian citrus Psyllid, Diaphorina citri - Florida Strain, whole genome shotgun sequence.